GACGAACGCUGGCGGCGUGCUUAACACAUGCAAGUCGAACGGAAAGGCCCUGCUUUUGUGGGGUGCUCGAGUGGCGAACGGGUGAGUAACACGUGAGUAACCUGCCCUUGACUUUGGGAUAACUUCAGGAAACUGGGGCUAAUACCGGAUAGGAGCUCCUGCUGCAUGGUGGGGGUUGGAAAGUUUCGGCGGUUGGGGAUGGACUCGCGGCUUAUCAGCUUGUUGUUGGGGUAGUGGCUUACCAAGGCUUUGACGGGUAGCCGGCCUGAGAGGGUGACCGGCCACAUUGGGACUGAGAUACGGCCCAGACUCCUACGGGAGGCAGCAGUGGAGAAUAUUGCACAAUGGGCGGAAGCCUGAUGCAGCAACGCCGCGUGCGGGAUGACGGCCUUCGGGUUGUAAACCGCUUUCGCCUGUGACGAAGCGUGAGUGACGGUAAUGGGUAAAGAAGCACCGGCUAACUACGUG
rnacentral:rRNA from 1 species